CCAUGCCCGACGCCGUCCUUUUCUUCUUCCCUUCACGAACGGACGCGCCGCCGCUGCCCUUCCCUGCCAUUUCUCCUCCCUCCGGUACAAAAGCCCAAAGGGAAGCCCCAAAGCCCUAUUGUUGUCUUCCUUCUCACCCGAUCUCCGCCGAUCUCCUCCCUUGCCCGGUGCUCUAGGGUUUUUUCCCUCUUCCUCUCUUCUGCCGAGCCUCCUUCCCUCUCCUCGUGGACACCAGGAGCCGCUAGAAAUUGAGCAUCCAAGCCCAUUUUUGUUUCGUGCCCUAGUUCUCCAUCGCCGCCACACCCUCUUUAUCGCCUCUCGACCCUAGCAGCGCCGUUGCUGCCCUAGCGCCGGCAGCCGGUCCACUCCCACCUCCGGCUACAACAAGAGCAAACCUAGCAGUGCGGAGCCUCCUUCUCGCGUCUCUGCUCGACAAUGCCGAAGCCGUCAUCGCUGUGCCCUAAUCGUUGUUUGUUGCUACCAGUUCCGGCAGGAACUCACUGUGAAUAGGUGUCUGACCUAGUGCCACCACCAGCAUCUGACUUCUUGCUGUGCUGCCAUCACCAAAGAAGAGGAGGUUAGGAUUCGGAUUCGGGACGAGCACUUCGACAUAGAGGUUGAUUAGCUCGAUCUACAUUGGAGGUUGAGGCUGUUUGGAGGAGUUCCAGUCGCUAGUCCCCCCUCCAGGUUGCGUGGAUUUCCACUUUAGAUCCUUGCUUUGGUUUUUCUUAUUAUAUUAGACUAUGUUUCAGACUUAUAUAUGUUGGAAAUUUGGAUUUUUUACCAUCCCUUGUUAUUGAUGGGUUUUUGUUUGGAUGAUAUCAAAUUUGCGUUUUAUGGGUGUAGUUGAGUAGGAAUUUUGCGAUGAUUUCCUUAUCUUUGCUUUAGUUUAGUUGUUACUAUUAAACUACGUGGAUGCUUGCUUAUUGUACUUUUAUUUUUAGUGUUAUUAUU